AAAGGAAGAGUUGUCCUUCUGCAUUGCUGUUUCACACUCCAGUUCAUUUGAUGGGCGGUAAUGCACCAAGAAGCUUUUCAACUACAUUUCCAAUAGUUCCACUCUGAACUUCCUGUGGAUGGCAAGCGUGCGAGUUUGUGGCAACGAGAGGCAGGAGACGUGAAGAUACUGCGCAGGAAGCCCACGCGCCUCGAGCUCAAACUGGAUGACACGGACGAGUUUGAAAGUGUGAAAAAAGAACUAGAGUCGAAAGAAACAGAGGGAUGAGGUGGAUGUAGUUGGUGUAGCCACAUCCAGCGAGAUGAUUGGAGCAUCAGGUGGAGCCACAGAUGGGAAAACCAGAGUGCAGAUGAUCCACGAGCGAAUUGGAUACAAACCUCACCCGAAGCCUAACACAUUACCAUCACUUUUUGGGAACCUUCAGUUUUGACAAUCUACAAACCUAAAAAUGGACUAUCAGGUCUACAUUGAUGUUUCAGUUGCACACACACAUUAUUUUUUUAUCUUCUCUGACUUGAAAAAAGGACCAAAGUCACAGGCACUAUGGUUUUGGUAAACUAUGUGUUUUAAGGUUGUUUGUGACAACCAAUUUUACACAAAGGACUAUUUUUAUACAAACUAAAUAAAGUCUUACUAAUCGAA